rnacentral:rRNA from 1 species
AUUGAACGCUGGCGGCAUGCCUUACACAUGCAAGUCGAACGGCAGCACGGGAGCAAUCCUGGUGGCGAGUGGCGAACGGGUGAGUAAAGUAUCGGAACGUGCCCAGUCGUGGGGGAUAACGUAGCGAAAGUUACGCUAAUACCGCAUACGAGCGAUGGAUGAAAGCGGGGGAUCGCAAGACCUCGCGCGAUUGGAGCGGCCGAUAUCAGAUUAGGUAGUUGGUGGGGUAAAGGCUCACCAAGCCGCCGAUCUGUAGCUGGUCGGAGAGGACGACCAGCCACACUGGGACUGAGACACGGCCCAGACUCCUACGGGAGGCAGCAGUGGGGAAUUUUGGACAAUGGGCGAAAGCCUGAUCCAGCCAUGCCGCGUGCAGGAUGAAGGCCUUCGGGUUGUAAACUGCUUUUGUACGGAACGAAAAGGUUUGGCCUAAUAAGCUGAGCUCAUGACGGUACCGUAAGAAUAAGCACCGGCUAACUACGUGCCAGCAGCCGCCGUAA